UACGAAGGGGGCUAGCGUUGCUCGGAAUCACUGGGCGUAAAGGGUGCGUAGGCGGGGCUUUAAGUCAGGGGUGAAAUCCUGGAGCUCAACUCCAGAACUGCCUUCGAUACUGGCGACCUUGAGUCCGGGAGAGGUGAGUGGAACUGCGAGUGUAGAGGUGAAAUUCGUAGAUAUUCGCAAGAACACCAGUGGCGAAGGCGGCUCCCUGGCCCGGUACUGACGCUGAGGUGCGAAAGCGUGGGGAGCAAACAGG
rnacentral:rRNA from 1 species